rnacentral:rRNA from 1 species
GAUGAACGCUAGCGGCAGGCCUAAUACAUGCAAGUCGAACGGUAAGUUGAAUAGCAAUAUUUGACCUAGAGUGACGUACGGGUGCGUAACACGUAUGCAACCUACCUUGUACAGGAGGAUAGCUCGGGGAAACUCGAAUUAACCCUCCAUAAGAUCGUGAAGUGGCAUCACUUAGUGAUAAAAACUCCGGUGGUACAAGAUGGGCAUGCGUCUGAUUAGUUAGUUGGCGGGGUAACGGCCCACCAAGACGAUGAUCAGUAGGGGAACUGAGAGGUUGAUCCCCCACACUGGCACUGAGAUACGGGCCAGACUCCUACGGGAGGCAGCAGUAGGGAAUAUUGGUCAAUGGAUGCAAGUCUGAACCAGCCAUGCCGCGUGCAGGAAGAAGGCCUUCUGGGUUGUAAACUGCUUUUGCCAGGGGAUAAAAAGACCUUGCGAGGUUAAUUGAAGGUACCUGGUGAAUAAGCCACGGCUAACUACGUGCCAGCAGCCGCGGUAAAAC